rnacentral:misc_RNA from 1 species
GAUGAAGAACGUAGCGAAAUGCGAUAAGUAGUGUGAAUUGCAGAAUUCAGUGAAUCAUCGAAUCUUUGAACGCACAUUGCGCCCCUUGGUAUUCCAUGGGGCAUUCCUGUUCGAGCGUCAUUUGUACCUUCAAGCUCUGCUUGGUGUUGGGUGUUUGUCUCGCCUCUGCGUGUAGACUCGCCUCAAAACAAUUGGCAGCCGGCGUAUUGAUUUCGGAGCGCAGUACAUCUCGCGCUUUGCACUCAUAACGACGACGUCCAAAAGUACAUUUUUACACUCUUGACCUCGGAUCAGGUAGGGAUACCCGCUGAACUUAAGCAUAUCAAUAAGCGGAGGA